rnacentral:rRNA from 1 species
UACGUAGGGGGCAAGCGUUGUCCGGAUUUAUUGGGCGUAAAGGGCUCGUAGGCGGUUUGUCGCGUCGGGAGUGAAAACCAGGUGCUUAACACCUGGCUUGCUUUCGAUACGGGCAGACUAGAGGUAUUCAGGGGAGAACGGAAUUCCUGGUGUAGCGGUGAAAUGCGCAGAUAUCAGGAGGAACACCGGUGGCGAAGGCGGUUCUCUGGGAAUGACCUGACGCUGAGGAGCGAAAGUGUGGGGAGCGAACAGG